UAUAACAGGUGUUCCUUGUGUCCUUUGUAUACACAUUCAUUCUGUAUUCAAAUCACAGAAGCAAGAGACAGGAUAGGGUCUGUUACCUCACUGCUAAUUUCCCUAGCAAAUAAACCAGCAGCUGCUGGUCCAUGAACCAAGUUGCCACCAGGAACAGGGCACUGUAUGCAUGGGACAGGAUGCUUUCAUGGAGUCCUUCAGCAACACGGUUGGGGGCUUUCAGUGCAAAAUAUACCUCCUUCUCUUAGCAGGUGCUUGCUCAGGACUAAAAGUGACCGUGCCCUCACACACUGUUCAUGGCAUCAGGGGUCAGGCCCUCUACCUCCCUGUGCACUAUGGAUUCCACACACCAGCAUCGGACAUCCAGAUCAUAUGGCUGUUUGAGAGACUCCACACGAUGCCCAAAUACUUACUGGGCUCCGUGAACAAGUCUGUGGUUCCCGACUUGGAAUACCAACACAAGUUCACCAUGAUGCCACCCAACGCGUCUCUGCUCAUCAACCCAUUGCAGUUCACUGAUGAGGGCAAUUACAUCGUGAAGGUCAACAUUCAGGGAAAUGGAACUCUCUCAGCUAGUCAGAAGAUCCAAGUGACCGUUGAUGAUCCUGUAACAAAACCAUUGGUGCAGACCCAGCCUUCCUCUGGAGCUGUGGAGUAUGUGGGGAACUUGACCCUGACAUGCCUCGUGGAGGGGGGCACCCGGCUGGUUUACCAGUGGCUAAAAAAUGAAAGGCCUGUCCACACCAGCUCCACCACCUCCUUUUCUCUGCAAAACAGUACCCUUCAUAUUGCUCCAGUGACCAAAGAAGAUAUUGGAAAUUACAGUUGCCUGGUGAAGAAUCCCGUCAGUGAAAUGGAAAGUGACAUCAUUAUGCCUACCAUAUACUAUGGACCUUAUGGACUUCGAGUUAAUUCUGACAAAGGGCUAAAAGUAGGGGAAGUGUUCACUGUUGACAUUGGAGAGGCCAUCUUAUUUUAUUGUUCUGCUGAUUCUUAUCCCCCCAAUACCUAUUCCUGGAUCCGGAGGACUGACAAUACAACAUAUGUCAUUAAGCACGGGCCUCACUUGGAAGUUGCAUCUGAGAAGGUAACCCAGAAGACAACUGACUAUAUGUGCUGUGCUUACAACAAUGUAACUGGACGGCGAGAUGAAGCUCAUUUCACAGUCAUCAUCACUUCUAUAGGACUGGAGAAGCUUGCACAAAAAGGGAAAUCAUUGUCUCCCUUAGCAAGUAUAACUGGAAUAUCACUCUUUUUGAUUAUAUCCAUGUGUCUUCUCUUCCUGUGGAAAAAAUAUCAACCCUACAAAGUUAUAAAACAGAAGCUAGAAGGCAGGCCAGAAACAGAAUACAGGAAAGCUCAAACAUUUUCAGGCCAUGAAGAUGCUCUGGAUGACUUCGGAAUAUAUGAAUUUGUUGCUUUUCCAGAUGCUUCUGGUGUUCCCAGGAUGCCAAGUAGGUCUGUUUCAGCCUCUGAUGGUGUAUCAGGACAAGAUUUGCACAGUACAAUUUAUGAAGUCAUUCAGCACAUCCCUGCCCAACAGCAGGACUGUCCAGAGUAUUGAAAGGAAUAAAAGAAUUUAAGGUUCUUCUACCUGUGGAACUGGAACUCUGUAGAAUAUUUUACAUAUCUUGUAACAUCUCUUUGCCAGUUCCAGAAAGAAUUUAUGGAAGCUCAUAUAAAUGCAUAAUGUAACAAGAUAAAAUAUACCCCCAAAAUGAAGUUGAUAAAGAAAACAGGAUGAAGGAACAAUGAGAGUUUACAAAGGCACAUUGAAAGCAGAAAUGAAGCUAAUAACCAGUAUGAUGGAUUCCCCCUCAUCUCCAAGUAUUGUUUUAUUACACCAGGAUCACACAGCAUAUACAGGUGGAUGUCUAAGGAGGGACUUCUAAACCAAAUGCAAUUUGUAACUGUCAGUCCAAAAAAGGUUGCAAUCCCCUCACAGGGUUGGAAAAGAACAGGUCAGCUUUCCCAGCCACCACUCACGGAAGUUCCAUCUGCCCCUCCCCUCCUUCCUCAGUCCUGAAUUCCCUCCCUCCCGAAGGUCCUUGCAUCUAUCUCUUGGAGAGCAGAUUAACUCCCAUGAGCUCCAGCUGUGUCUCUGUGUUCCCCUUCCAAGACCCAACCCUGGAACUCUUUCAAUCAUGGACCAUCUUACACAGCCUUUUCUUGCAUGGGUAACAAUACAUUCACAUGCUUCCCAAUCAAAAUCUUAUAAGAAUGAUGUGCCAAGACAACUGUUUGUAUUCGAUUUUGGUUUGGCUGAUUUUGUGUAUCCCUCCAGAGUUCCUUACCACAAACCAAAGGAAAUACAAACACAUAUUUUUAUUUUCUCAAACUCACUUUUCAGUCACUUGUAAUUCCUCUCAUUUUUGUAUUGUUCUCUCACACACAAAUAUACAGACUCUCUUAGAGCAUGGUUCCACUCAAAGCAACAAGGAAUUGCUGAAGGGAGCAAUGUGAAAGGAUCUAGAAUCCAAUUAACUUUUGCUGUCAAUGGGGUGUCAUACCAGGUGACUCACUGCUUUUUUAGUAUAUGGGGAUGAAAAUCUCAUAAAUUAAUCAAGGUUUCCAAGGGAAGUGAUGGACCAAAUACAGAUGUUUACCUAAUUAACAAAUUAAUCUUU